ACCCAAUAGCUCAGUUGGUAGAGUACGAGACUCUUGAUCUCAAGAUUGUGGAUUUGAGUCCCAUGUUGGGAA